AUGAAAUGGUCAUGCAAAUUUUGUAGUACAGUCGUUUCUACAAAAGCUGACUUACUGAAACAUUACAGACUACAACACGAUUGUCUUGGACGGCACCGGUCGCUACCAUGCAUUUUUCCGGAUUGUCCCUGUUCAUUCAAAACAUUGAACUCAAUUCGUUCACACUUGAAAAGGCACCAUGCCCCUUGUGAUGUACAGACUCCUGAAGAGAACUUUUGCUUCUUGUGUCAACAUUGUGCCUCCAUUACAUUUUCAACAGAGGCAGAAUUCUUUACACAUCUUAGACAUCAUUUAAAGAAACAAGAGACUGUUGAUUGUGUUUUUAACCAGUGUGAUUUCAAGACAAAUGUGUAUGGCACAUUUGCAGCUCACAAAAGCAGAAAGCAUAUGCCUCAUUGUGUCGAUGACUUUAAACCACAAGUUCUGCAUUCAAGAUUAGAUUCUGCCUUUGGCCGUUCUAGCAGCAUAACUCAUGAGGAAGAAAGUGAAGAAGAAAGCAUUUUGCCAUUGAGGGCAGUAAGUGAAAUUUUGCCUGAUUUAAUUGAAAAAAAAAUAGGCUCUGUGCUGCUUAAGUUGGAAAGCCUGUUUCAUGUAUCAGGCAAGUGCAUUGACCAGUUGGUGGAAGACUUACACUUCAUUUCAACAGAAGGGUCAGCUGAAGCAUUUAGAUGUGUUGUUGAACAAGCACUAAAGAAGCAUGACUGUGUUCUUGAAACUUCAGUGAUCAGAGAUUUGGUAAAGGAACUUUGUGAGUCAAGUCCAUUAUGCAAGUCAUUUGGAUUGGACGGUCCCUUUAGGUCCUCAUAUAAGAGGAAAGAGUAUUAUAAAGAAAACUUCCUAAUUGUGGAACCUGUUGAAUAUGUUACUGAUGCAAUGGAAAAACUGAGUUUUCAGUAUGUGCCCAUUCUCAAAGUGUUGUCCCAUUUAAUGAAUGACACUGAUAUUUCACAAAUGGCACUUGAAAGACCUCAGAUCUCUAAACAGGAUGUCCCAACAUACAGAUCUUUUCACGAUGGGCUAUAUUUUCAGCAAAACACUUUUCUUUCUGAAGGAGAAGUGAAAAUUUCACUGAUUUUAUACAUUGACGAAUUCGAGAUUUGCAAUCCACUCGGAACAUCCCGGAAAAAACAUAAAAUUACAGCAGUGUAUUGGGUGCUUGGAAAUGUACCAUCAGUCCUUCGUUCUGAGUUGUCUUCCAUUUAUUUGGCAGUUCUGUGCAAAACAGAAGAUGUAAAACGACAUGGAUAUUCAGUUGUGCUUGAACCCCUUUUGAAGGAUCUAGGAGUUUUGGAGAGAGAAGGAAUUUUUAUUUCUAGCCUCGGAAAGAAUAUCAGAGGUACAGUGAUGUGUGUUGUUGCUGACAAUUUAGCAGCCCAUUCACUUGGUGGGUUUGUGGAAAAUUUUUCUGGCCCAUAUCCCUGCAGGUUUUGCCUUGGCCAGCGUUCAGAUUAUCAGCUGAAAGAAGUACGUUUGGGUGCAUUUCAGAGAAGAACAAAUGAGCAACAUACUCUACAUAUUCAAACAGCAUUAGAGGAUACAAGUGUUACCCAUUCAUUUGGUGUCAAAAGGCAAUGCAUCAUGACUGACAAACUGGAACAUUUCCAUGUUUUAUCAGGAUAUCCACCAGAUCUCUUACACGAUGUUUUUGAAGGGAUCGUUCCAGUAGAACUUGCUUUAUGCUUGGAUCAUUUUAUCAAAAAGAAAUACUUGACAGUGAGUGAGAUAAAUGCUGCAAUCCAACAUUUUCCAUUUAAAUGGUCCGACAAAACCAACUGUCCAAAGUCAGUGCCUCUGUCUUUUGCAAAUCGGAAGAGUAUCGGCGGAAAUGCCCAUGAAAACUGGGCCUUGCUCAGGUUUCUUCCAUUUCUCAUAGGUCCAAAAAUUCCAGUGGAUGAACCUGCGUGGUUAAUUCUUAUGGACCUUAAAGAAAUUGUGGAACUAAUAGUUUCACCAGUGCAUUCUCACGAGUCCAUUGGCUACCUUGACAGCAAAAUAUCUGAGCACAGACACAGGUUUCUGAGUGUAUUUCCACAACAGAAGUUGCUCCCUAAACAUCAUUUCUUGGAGCACUAUCCGGAACUGAUACAGGCUUUUGGUCCUCUGGUGGCAAUGUGGACCAUGCGCUUUGAGGCUAAGCACAGUUUUUUCAAACGUGUUGUGCAACACACCCAUUCUUUCAGAAACAUCUUGCUUUCGCUUGCAGUGAAACACCAGUUGUUGAUGGCUUUUCACUUUCAUUAUUCAGAAAACUUUAAACCAUCACUUUCUGUUUCACACGUGUCCAAUGUCAGUUUGGAUUUGCUACAUAAUGAUGUACAGGAAGCAGUUCGCAAAAAAUUCCCUAAUGAAAAAUCAGUAGUGUUGGCAAACACAGUAUCUUGUUACGGAACAAAAUACUGUAAAGGAAUGGUUCUGGCUCAUGGUUCCACUGCAGGACUUCCUGACUUUGUUCAGAUACACCAGCUGAUGGUUGUAAAUAACUCUUUAGGGUUUAUAGUGAAAACGCGUACAGCCUGGUACAAUGAGCACUUGAGAUCCUUUGAACUGGAUGCACCUGGCCAUGUUAAAGUACUUCUCCAAGAAGAUUUGAGUGAUGUUGUACCUCUAGCUGCAUACACUAUCAAGGGAAAGUGUAUGGUGACUUUGAAGCGCUUCAUAAUGUUAUCAUAA
ensembl:lncRNA